UUACGGAAGGCAGCAGUGGGGAAUUUUGGACAAUGGGCGCAAGCCUGAUCCAGCAAUGCCGCGUGCAGGAUGAAGGCCUUCGGGUUGUAAACUGCUUUUGUACGGAACGAAACGGUCCCUUCUAAUACAGGGGGCUAAUGACGGUACCGUAAGAAUAAGCACCGGCUAACUACGUGCCAGCAGCCGCGGUAAUACGUAGGGUGCAAGCGUUAAUCGGAAUUACUGGGCGUAAAGCGUGCGCAGGCGGUUUUGUAAGACAGAUGUGAAAUCCCCGGGCUUAACCUGGGACCUGCAUUUGUGACUGCAAAGCUAGAGUACGGUAGAGGGGGAUGGAAUUCCGCGUGUAGCAGUGAAGUGCGUAGAUAUGCGGAGGAGCACCGAUGGCGAAGGCAAUCCCCUAGACCUGUACUGACGCUCAUGCACGAAAGCGUGGGGAGCAAACAGGAUUAGAUACCCCGGUAGU
rnacentral:rRNA from 1 species